UUGCGAAAUACACACGAAAAAUAAAGUACUACAAUACAAACUUCGGCUAGAUGAUGCAAAGCUCCCGCUUGGAGUGGAGAUGGGGAGUCGCCUCUAUCUCUGUCGCUCGCUCGCAAGUGAGGAAGUCAAUGCUUAUUUAAGACCUUAUCGCAGAUCGGUAGCACCGAGACCAAGACGUUGGCGUGCCCGAUGCCGUUGCCGUUGCCGGUUUCCAGUUCCAGUUGUCGGUGGGGGAGUUGCGGCGGCCCCCCUAUUUUGGGGGAGGUGACAGGCAGCGAAUACUCGCACCGCUCCACCACACAUCAUCCCAGCAAACACGUAUGAACGUGGAACGUGCGUGUCUAAUCAUGAACUUUAUGUGGAAAACAAAGGCUGCACUGUAUCCCUAGCAGAGCAUUAUACAACUAGAAACUGCACUUGAACCACUAUAAGGGGUUGCAGCUGCAACUGACUCGCGUUCAUGCUGCUCUUUGGCUCUUCUUUGGCUGCAACUGCAACUAAAUUGCAAUUGACGCACCACACACACACAUAUCUGCCAAUAUGUGGAAUGCAAAAUACAGCCAAAAAAAAUAAGCAAACGAAAUGAGUAAUAGCGAAAGGGGAGCGGAGGAACGGCCCGCAUAUAAUAAAUGAAGAGCAGAGCAGAGUGUGUCCGAUUAUGACGAUGAUGUAUGAAUGAAUCUCUGGCGUAACUUUUACUUUUUUCUGGGCAGGCCAGCACAUAAUUAUUGGCAUUUACUUUUACCGGGUCCGGGGUGUAACAAAUUUAAAUGAAAUGCACAAUAAAUCGGUUAGAAAGAGGGCCGGAGCGGGGGCGAAAUACAAUAUACAAUAACUCAAUAGCCAAUCGGAAAGG
rnacentral:misc_RNA from 1 species